rnacentral:rRNA from 1 species
GAUGAACGCUGGCGGCGUGCCUAAUACAUGCAAGUCGAGCGAACAGACGAGGAGCUUGCUCCUCUGACGUUAGCGGCGGACGGGUGAGUAACACGUGGAUAACCUACCUAUAAGACUGGGAUAACUUCGGGAAACCGGAGCUAAUACCGGAUAAUAUAUUGAACCGCAUGGUUCAAUAGUGAAAGACGGUUUUGCUGUCACUUAUAGAUGGAUCCGCGCCGCAUUAGCUAGUUGGUAAGGUAACGGCUUACCAAGGCAACGAUGCGUAGCCGACCUGAGAGGGGGAUCGGCCACACUGGAACUGAGACACGGUCCAGACUCCUACGGGAGGCAGCAGUAGGGAAUCUUCCGCAAUGGGCGAAAGCCUGACGGAGCAACGCCGCGUGAGUGAUGAAGGUCUUCGGAUCGUAAAACUCUGUUAUUAGGGAAGAACAAAUGUGUAAGUAACUAUGCACGUCUUGACGGUACCUAAUCAGGAAGCCACGGCUAACUACGUG